rnacentral:tRNA from 1 species
GCAUUCGUGGUGUAAUUAGUAGCACGCUCAACUAACACUCGGAAGGUAUGAGUUCGAAUCCCGUCGGGGGUA